CGGACGGGUGAGUAACGCGUGGGAAUCUACCUAUGAGUGGGGGAUAACUUGGUGAAAACCAAGCUAAUACCGCAUGUGGUCUACGGACUAAAGCAGGGGAUCUUCGGACCUUUGCGCUAAUAGAUGAGCCCGCGUUAGAUUAGCUAGUUGGUGGGGUAAAGGCCUACCAAGGCGACGAUCUAUAGCUGGUCUGAGAGGACGAUCAGCCACACUGGGACUGAGACACGGCCCAG
rnacentral:rRNA from 1 species